ACUAUUUGAAGAUCAUUCUUUCCUCCAACCUCCAUCCAAAUUAAAUAACGUUUUUCUUUUCCUCUUUCUCCUUUAGGCUUUUUGUAUGCAUCAAAGCUGUGCACGGUGUCUCUGAUUUUAAAUAUUUCAUCCAAAAUGUAAUAUGACUAUGUUCAUUUAUUUUCUUUCUUAAAUGAGAGAAGUGUUUCCAUAAGACCUGCAAAACAAGACAUAAUUUGGGGACCCAAGGGCAGAUGAAGACUCAUUGCUCAUUCCUUUUUUCUCCACUUCCUGAAACAGACAGUUCUUCCUUUCUGACCCAAAACCUAUUCAUUGUGUCAUAACUAACUAAAAUGGCACCUUUCCUAAGAGUGCUUGUUCUUUGUGACUCCAGAACAUUCUAGCAGCCGUCACUGUGGAUAUCCCUCCCAACACAUCAGCGCUCCAAGCACAGCACAGUGGCAGCAUUUCAUGCCCCCCUGGAACCUGUGAGUCGGGUGUCACAUCAUCUUCACUUUUCAGAUGUGAAAGCUGGAGCUCAGAGCCACUUCACACAAGAAUACUUGCAGGAAUCUAACGCAAUGAUGGAGAUGGAUCAUAUGAGGAUAUGUAACACCAAAGACUUGAAAAAUAGCAAACUCAACUUUUAGAUAAGUGGAAGCAUACCUUGCUGACCAACAUGAUGCACCAUUUUGAACCAAAUGCCUCUUAUUCUGCAGCCAUCAGACACUGAUAUUAUGUGUUUAAAUGCUUGACCAGCCUUCAUCUGUACCAAAUGUUUGAUCUUGCUUUUAUAAAAGAUGAGACAACUUUGCUUUUUAGUUUUUUUUUCUUAAAGCUGGUUUUAUUCACGAGAUACCGUAAGACCAAAAAACCCCUCAGAGCUGUAACAUUUUGAUUUUCCUGGAGUUCAAAGUACUACUUUCUGCAUUAAAUAAUUUAAGGCAUCUUUUUUUGAGAGAAGGGAAUAAAAGC
rnacentral:lncRNA from 1 species